GUCCUGCGCAGCAGAGUGCACGACCGGUUCACCUGCUCCGAUCCUCCUGAGAAGGGACCUUGCAAUGAAACCUUGACCCGCUAUUACUUCAACGUCCAGGACAAGACCUGUAAGGAAUUUGUCUACGGCGGCUGCCAGGGCAACGCCAACAACUACGAGACUAACGAAGAGUGCAGUGUUAGCUGCGAGCUGCGGCCCAGACCCUUCUGCUACCUUCCAAAACAGCGAGGUGCAUGUUUCAGCAAUCAUCCUCGCUACUUCUACAACGCCACCAGUGAGAAGUGUGAACAGUUCGCCUACAGUGGCUGCAGGGGCAACGCAAACAACUUCCUCGAGAUCGAGGAAUGCACACGCAUGUGCUCAA